rnacentral:rRNA from 1 species
UACGGAGGGGGCAAGCGUUGUUCGGAAUUACUGGGCGUAAAGCGCGGGCAGGCGGCCCUGCAAGUCUGAGGUGAAAGCGCCCGGCUCAACCGGGCGAGGCCCUUGGAGACUACAGGGCUGGAGGGCAGUAGAGGUAGGCGGAAUUCCGGGUGGAGUGGUGAAAUGCGUAGAGAUCCGGAGGAACACCAGAGGCGAAGGCGGCCUACUGGGCUGCACCUGACGCUGAGCCGCGAAAGCCAGGAGAGCGAACGGG